AUGCAUGUCUUUGACGUACUAUGUACUGAAAGAUGGACUGCUCAGUAAUACUCACUUUAUUUGAUGUACCUUAUACAUAACUACGUUAAAGUGUAGCUAACAUAUGUACAGUAAGAGUGAGACCUAUCAGCUAGUUGUUAAGGUAAUGGCUUAACAAGGCAAUAACGGGUAACGGUAUUACUUUGUAAUAUUCCGGAGAAGGAGCCUGAGAGACGGCUACUAAGUCUAAGGAUUGCAGCAGGGGCGAAACUUGACCUAUGGAUAUUAUCUGAGGCAGUUAUGGGAAGUAACAUAGUUGUUUCACAUUUUAAACGUAUGUGAGCAGAUUAAUUGGAGGGCAAAUCGAGUGCCAGCAGCCGCGGUAAUACUUGUUCCAAGAGUGUGUAUGAUGAUUGAUGCAGUUAAAAAGUCCGUAGUUUAUUGUUAAGAAGCAAUAU
rnacentral:rRNA from 1 species